UACGGAGGAUGCAAGCGUUAUCCGGAUUGAUUGGGCGUAAAGCGUCUGUAGGUGGUUACGCUAGUCGGCUGUUAAAGAUCAGGGCUGAACCCUGAGCAAGCAGUCGAAACUGCGUGGCUGGAGUACGGUAGGGGCAGAGGGAAUUCCCGGUGUAGCGGUGAAAUGCGUAGAUAUCGGGAAGAACACCAAAGGCGAAAGCG
rnacentral:rRNA from 1 species